GUGCUCAACUCCAAGGAUAAGGCUCCCUAUUUAAUCUACGUGGAAGUGCUUGAAUGUGACAAUUUCGACACAGCGAAUGUUCCCGCCCGGAUCCCGGAGAACCGGAUCCGGAGCACGCGCUCGGCCGAGAACCUUCCCGAGGUGGGGAUGAGCCACGAGCAGAGGACGGGGAGCUUCAGCACCGUCCCCAACUACGACAACGACGACGAGGCCUGGUCCGUGGACGACAUCGGGGAGCUCCAGGUGGAGCUUCCAGAGGUUCACACCAACAGCUGUGACAACAUCUCCCAGUUUUCCGUGGACAGCAUCACGAGCCAGGAGAGCCGGGAGCCCGUGUUCAUCGCCGCCGGGGACAUCCGGUCAGGAA